AAAAUAAACCUGCCUUUUUCCAUUUAGCAUUUUUUCAAAUGAAUAUAAUUUCGUUUGCUGAUGAAUUUAGUUCAGCUUCAAGGGAAUUUUUCUUUUCUUCAUGGGGAGGCUGAAGGAUCAGAACUGUCAUGCCAAAGAAUGAAAAGCAAGCCUAGGGAGAAAAAGACAGUCUGAGGUUUACGUGGACUGCUUAAUGGGCACAUGCUGAUUUCCUGUAUGUCUCAAUGUUCCUAAGCCAUGAGGGUGAGACCAGAACCCCAGGAGCCACGACAUGCACUUUGUCACCUGCCAGAUCGAAUAGCCACAGAAAAUACCAAGACUGUUAAACUCUAAGAAGAUUACCUACAUCAAAGUUUAAGCUCCUGUCGUUAUAAGUCAUAUUUCUCAAACUUGUAUAAAUAUAUGUGUGAUGGAAAACCAGAAGAUGCUCAGUAAACACGUUCUAUGUAAGUCUGCAGGUUUAGUUUCUUUGGACCAAUGUGGAGCAUGUGCCCUCCUUGACCCAAAGACAGUGGCCAGAGUAAUUUGAUUGUCCCAUUGGCCAGCCUGGAUCACAGGCCCAGCUCUGGAGCUGUCAGUCCCAGAUACAUGAAUGUCUACACCUUUCCCAAGUUCAAGAAUGGUUAUAAACAUGCUUCCACUUCCAAAAGAAGGAAAUCGUACUCAUAGUGACUGUACAGAGGGAAACACAACAGAGGCCCCUUCAAGUCACCCAAGAAUAUUGAAGUUGGCAUAAAAUGGGUCUUUGCUCAUGGAUGAAGGAAAAGAUUCUUGCAAUUUCCAGUUUUAUGAGGUUGUUUCUACCAGCUUUUGUCUAAAUCCAGCUCCAAAACCAACAUGGCUCUGUAAGAAAGUAUAAGAGGUAUAAUAAACUGUCAAUUGGCAAGUCUUGAUAUAGUUUUUAUGGCAUAUUUACCAGAAACUGAAAGGUUCUUAGUUUGCCUGGUAAACUACUAGAUUACAGUCUCAGCAUCGCAUCCAGUUUAGCAUCCAUCCUAAAUAUUUUCAUAUUUUAGAUAAAUAUUACUACCAGCAUUUGCAUUAAAGUCAGCUGGAAUGGGCUUGGUAGACCUUCCUUUAUACUUCUACCUUUUGAGAGGCAUGUGCAGUGAAGACAGCCAUCACUUUAACAUGUGGUUAAACCUGAACGAUGACGGGCAAUAACCCAUUCUCUCUUUUACUGACCCUUUUCAGAUUCUAUAAAAUUAACACUUCCCUGUCAAAGACAGCAUGCAGGGUAUUUCCUGACAAAGCAAUGUGUUCCAGGACAAAAGUGGUUUAGGGACAGCUAACUCCUUAUAGUCUCAGGAGAUGGUUAAUGUUUCUGCUGUCCCCAGCUGACCACCCAGUUUUCCAGAUAGUUGUCCCAUGACCUGUGCCAUGGCCUGCGGGAUGCAUGAAGCAAGGUCAGUGGCAAACACGGUAUCUUAGCUUGGGCUGUCAUAACAAAAUACCAUAGACUGGGUGGCUUAGAUGACAAAAAUUGAUUUCUCAUAGUUCUUAGAGGCUGAGAAGUGCAAGGUUCCAGCUGAUUCCAUUUUUGGUGGGGGCUUUCUUCCUGCUCAUGGCCACCUUUUUUCUGCAUUCUCACGUGGCCUUUGUUUUAUGUUUGUGUGGAGUGAGAGAUCUCUGUUGUCUUUUCUGAAAGUAUACUAAUUCUCUUGGAUGAAAGCCCUGUCCUUGUGACCUCAUUUAACCUUAAUUAAUUCCUUAGAGGCCCCAUCUCCAAAUACAGCCACACUGGGGGAUUAAGGCUUUAAUAUAUGAACUCGUGGGGGAGGACAAACACUCAGUCCAUAAUACCUGGGAAAGGAUAAUUAGGUAUAUGUCAAAUAUAUGCAAAAAUAGAGGCUGAGGAGUCCUGCAUAAAUGAUUUGCUGAACAGUUAUCCAGGUGGCCUUGCACUGAUCCACUUUUCCCCCCUUUCUCACUUGUAGUUCCUAAGAAUAACUGUGGAAUGUGCUGGGAAUGCAACACGUAGACAUGGAGGGCUCUGUUCUAGUCUCCCACAACCCCCCAGAAAGGAGUGUCCUUCAACGCUUUGGCAAAGUGAAUUAAGUUAGCUUGGGUUAUAAAACCCAGGGAAGGCUGCUUUCCAGGAAAUGAGACACGUGCAGAUGAGACUCCCAUCUGCCCCCUGCAGUGGGGGACUGGCUCACAAUGAGUCCUAGGCUUCUGCUGUCCCUCGCUGCUUAUCUGAAAGUAAUAAGCCUGCUUCACGUAACUUGGGUGCGAAUGUUCUCUCUCACCGGACUCACACAAAUUGGUAACCAGUGCGCAGUGAGCUGCUUCCCAUAAUUAGCUUAAAACAAGCAUUUGACUCUCACAAUUCUGUUGUUCAGGAAUUCAGGCAGUGCUCAGAAGGGGAGGCUCAUUUCCGCAAUGUGUGGUGUUGGCUGGAGAAUCCGUGAUAGCUUUGCCCACGUGUCCGAUUUCUCAGCUGUUGACUGAAAUGGCUGGGGGCUGGCUGGCCUCUCUAUCUUGCCAUUCAUAGGCUCCUGUCCUCUAGGGCCUCUCUUUACAUCAAUUCUUCAUAUGGCUGCUGGUUUCCCCUCUGAGUGAAAACAGAAGCUAAAUAACCUUUGAAUGUCUGGGCUCAAAAAUCCCAGAAUAUCAUUUCUGCUGCAUUCAGUUUGUCAGAACAAAUCACAAGUCCAGUGCAGAUUCAAGGUAUAGGUACAGAGACCUACCUCCUUGGUCAGAGAAGUGGCACAUGCACGACAAAUUGUUAUUGGCCAUACUUGCAGGUAAUCUACCACAGUCUGCCCUCUGGCCACAAAACUUCACGUUUAUUUCACAUGCGGAACUAUAGUCAACUCCUCCAAAGAUUCCCAAAGUCUCAACAAGUUGUAACAUUAUAUUCUGUGCCCAGUAUUUCUUGAUCUGCAUUGGGAUCAUACAGAUGUGUAUGAGGUUUCAUAAGUGCAGCUCCUUUUGAUAUGGGGGACUAUGAAGCAAAAAUGCAAGCUAUCUGUGCCUCCAUGCCCAAUAAUACAAUGUGAAGGCAGAAACAAGAUAACCUCAGUAGACACUUGCAUUUAAAAGGGGGAGAAACGAGGCACUGAUUUAAAUCUUGUAACUACACUGUUGAUUUGAUCUUUACCUUAAGGCCCUGUUUUAUUGACAAUGUCCUGGAUUUGAUCUUUUCCCUGGGGCUCUUUCUUACUUUCAGAACAUUUUUCUACCUGAAG